UGCUAGGGGCUUCAAUACUUGCUGUAAUGGAUAAAGAAAUAAAUCAGCGGUCUACUGAAAAAAUUCGUCGCCGGACAUUGAGGAACGCAUCAGAUCCUUUAUCUCACUCAAAUGCAGAAUUUAUAACUUAUUAUCGGCUAAAUAAAGAAGCUUUUGUUUUAGUUUUGGAAAAAAUUUCUCCCCACCUCAAACGUUCCAAUAUACCGGCUAUUAUCCAGCUUGCAACAACGCUUAGUUUUUUGGCUACGGGUGCAUUUCAAGGAGUUAUAGGUAGAGAUGUGGAGCUAAGCCUUGGGAGAAGUACAGUUUCUACAAUUAUGUGGAGAGUUAUUAAUGCAAUUGAAGCUGAAAUUUGUCCACAUUGGAUCAAAUUAAGAAUGUCUUCCGAAGAAAAAAGAAAGUCGAAAUUGUACUUUUGCCCGAUUGACUGAAGCGCUCUGUCUCAAACCAAACAAUUAAUUGUUUUUUUGUUUUUCCCCUUUCUUGCUUUUUGGUCUGUCAGUUGUACAUUUCUACACCUUCUUCUUCAACACAUAUGGCAAUAAUUCAACAAUACAAGUCUGCCGUUCAUUUCUGCAUA